rnacentral:rRNA from 1 species
AGAGUUUGAUCCUGGCUCAGGAUCAACGCUGGCGGCGUGCCUAACACAUGCAAGUCGAACGCCCUUCGCAAGAAGGGAGUGGCGGACGGGUGAGUAACACGUGGGUUAUCUACCAUCAGGUGAGGAAUACCGGCGAGAAAUCGCCGACAAUACCGCAUGCGCUUCGCAAGAAGCAAAGCUCCGCAAGGGGCGCCCGAUGA